AAAAUGAUCGGAAAAAAAAUAUAUCCUUGACCAUCUCGGUGGUAGUAAGCUUAUACACUAUUACAUCACUACAACAUCAAAGCUGACGAUGAAAAAGAAAAGUUUGAGGCCAGCUACGCUCGGCGACAUUGUCUUUGUUUCAAUCUCAAUCCCCUAACUUUUAAAAACGCCAUUACGGGCCUGCUACUACACUGUGUACUCCGGUUAAAAGAAGCCAUUAUAAGUUCGCUUAACUUUAAGGUACCUCCCAUAGGUCACUUAAAGUUAAGUGGAUUUUUCUCACUUAAACUGGCCUUUGAAUACCGCUAAAAGACUAAACACUUAAAAGUUAAGGCACAUUAACUUGGGGGACAAUUUUAUACUUAACAUUGCCUUUGAAUACCACUUACCCUUAACUUACAGGAAGUUACGUAUAUUUAAGUGAAAUCUAGUAGUUAAGUGACUAUCUUAGACUUAAGAUAUCCUUUGAAUACGGACCCAGGUAUACAAUAAUACAGAAACAAUAAUUAAUUACACAAUAUAUUCCUUUAAAAAUCUAGAGCCAAGCAGAAAAUUGAUGUAGAAUUUUCUUUUAUUUUAGAUGUUGAUCCUGGUAAUAGCGAAACCCAUGGCCCGAGUACUGAAGCAGAUGUUAAGCCUACUAAUGGCGGAAAUCAGGAUAUAACUACUGGCGUAGAUGUAGAGCCUACUAGUGGCGGAAAUCAAGGUAUAACUACUGGCGUAGGUAUAGGAAGACCAACAGAAUCUGGUUGCUCUAUAGACCCUAUUGUGAGUGGUGUAAUUGGUUUUAUAUGUGGUAUAAUGGUCAUGAUAAUAAUUGAUGUGGUAUAUUAUUGCUACAAGAAAAGAGGUCAGAUGAGUAAACCAAAGGAAGAUAAUAUUCCUGAUUAUGUUUAUAGUAAUACAUCUUUAACAUCUACGACACCGCAACCUACAAUUACAACAUGUGACACAGUGUCAUAUACAAACCAAUCCACAACUACGACAGUGUCAGAUGUUAAUGUAAGGAACGACCAAUAUGUAAACCAGCCGUUUGAUCAACAAAAUAUAAGAAAUGAAUAUGAAACAUUAAAUCACACCACCGAUAAUAUAGGCAAUACUUACUCUGCAUUACAAUCACAUUGAAACUUUUAAGUUGCGAUGAAAUAGGUAAUAUUUGAGCAUGCUUAUGGAUAGAUUUGGCGCUCAAGAAAUGAACAUUUAUUAUUAUUACUUAUUUACUUACUUACUUACUUACUUACUUACUUACUUACUCUUCAUUACGGUAGAAUAGGUAAUACUUACUCUUCAUUCCAAUCACAUUAAAACCUUUAAGAUUGGAAAGUCUUAAAAUGACCCCAUUCCAUGUGACAGUCUUAAAAUGACCGCAUAAUAUGACAAUCUUAAAAUUUUCCCAUCUUAUGUAACAAUCUCUAAAAUGACCCCACCUCAUGUGACUAUCUCAAAAUGAUCCCAUCCCAUGUGACAAUCUUAAAAUGAACUCUUCCUAUAUGACAAUCUUAAAAUGACCUCUUCCUAUAUGACAAUCUAAAAAACACUCUUUCCAUGUGACAUUCUUAAAUUAAUGACCAUGCAUUUUGCCAAUUCUGUGGAUGGUUCGGUUAUUGAGAUUUAAAAGCCCGCAAUAUUUCCGACUGAUAAUUGUUCAGAAAGACAAGUUUAGGUUUUAAUCUGGGCUGCCAAGAAUUAUAUACUAUUAUGUUAUAUUUUAUGUAAUGCCUUUUAAAAAUGUAUACAGUAUAAACUAUAUAAACAGGUUUAUUUUGA